rnacentral:rRNA from 1 species
UACAUGGGGUGCAAACGUUGCUCGGAAUUAUUGGGCGUAAAGCGCGCGUAGGCGGUUACUCAAGUCGGAUGUGAAAGCCCUCGGCUUAACUGAGGAAGUGCACCCGAAACUGAGUAGCUAGAGUACUAAAGAGGGUCGCGGAAUUCCCGGUGUAGAGGUGAAAUGCGUAGAUAUCUGGAGGAACACCGGUGGCGAAGGCGGCAUCCUGGACCGGUAUUGACGCUGAGGAGCGAAAGCCAGGGGAGCAAACGGG